UGAACCCCUGCUCAAGCUCCGACGGCGACAGAGAGAACAGGGGAUUCGACGACGAGGUAUUUUCUCCCCUCUUUUAAUUUCUUUCUAUUAUUUCCCUUAUAAAUCACGAAUCAAAUAAGCGCUGAAAAGGAAAAAAGGAAAAAUAAAAGAAGACCAAAAAAAUGAAUCACCUUUCUGUAUUUCAAACUUUUUGUAUUCAGCAUGCGCGUAAGGAGAAAUACAAAAAUUCUUUCGGUUCUUAUAUUCUCAUUUUUUCAAAGAACCCGAAAAGAAAUCGAAUAAAAUUAAAAUAAAAUAAAAAAAUAUCCAAUUGGUUUGUUCUCUGCUGCCUUUGUUUGUUUGCGUGCAGAUACGUUCGUACGGGGGCUGACGUGGCGGUACGGAGGUGUGCGUGGCUAGGGAGAGCGGUGCUGGAGGUCACUGUUGCGGCGCUCGUGCCAUUUCUGAAACCCUAGGGUUUCUAUUUGUUUCGGUUUUGGGCUAGGGGUAUUCAGUUCUGAUUUUGGGCUAGUGAUUUGGGUUAAAACGGGUUGGGGUUUAGUUAGUUGGGCUAGGUGGUCUAAUGUGUUUUGGGUUUGGGCAAAUUAAUCGGGCCUACUAUUGUAAUAAGCUGGACAUUUAUUUGGUUUAUUUUAUUUUGUUUUAAUUUGGUGUUUAUUUAUCUAUGAUUUUGGGCCCAGG
rnacentral:lncRNA from 1 species